rnacentral:rRNA from 1 species
GACGAACCGAGCGAACGUUGUUCGGAAUCACUGGGCUUAAAGGGCGCGUAGGCGGGUGGUCAAGUCUGUGGUGGAAUCCUCCGGCUCAACUGGGGAGGGUCAUUCGAUACUGAUCGACUCGAAGGCAGGAGAGGGUAGUGGAAUUCCCGGUGUAGUGGUGAAAUGCGUAGAUAUCGGGAGGAACACCAGUGGCGAAGGCGACUCCCUGGCCUGUUCUUGACGCUGAGGCGCGAAAGCGAGGGGAGCAAACGGG